UCAUACUUUAAUCACAGGGUUAAAUUGGUAAUUGUAUAACACACUAAAUCAAUCAAGAAUUAUAACCUGUUCUAUAGCAUCUCUGAUUGUGUGCACAACGAGUGCAUCUUGGUUGUUCUCAAUCUCUGUAAUUUAAAAACACGAGCCGCUUAUUCGCGCAACACUAUCGCACCGCUCCACCACCAAUUUUGUAGCCGACGAUGACCAUGGAAUAGGCAGGAGUGCCGUAGGAGUGGGUCACUCACUGAUUUUUGCCCAGGCCUUGAAAAGUUUAAAUUAGCAAUGAUCUUUUGGGCCGCGUGGAUGGCCGUUGCAUGUUCUGCAAAAUUAACCUACCAGAGGAGGAAAAGAUUACAUGCAAGACAUGUGCCACUCCAUGGCAUCUCGGCUAUGUUUCUACUCAUCCCCAAACCCUGGCAGAUGCUUCACAAUGAUUGCUUUUCCCAUUUAGAGAUCACACGAGGAGCUUUUCUGGUUGGUUCGCUCUGGUUGUAUGUUGCUUCAGUAUGGUUUAUUUUUCUAGUUCAUUCGUCUCUAGUUGCUACAAGUGCAGACGUUCUCCGGAAUUUUUAAGGGAUUUUGAAUCCACGUUGAAAUUCCAUUGGUUUUGGUCGGGGACAAAGCUUUCAAAUUUGCAUAGCAGGUCAUCAUGUGUUGGCAGAACCAUCGCCAAACGAAUGCUACCUAAUCUGAUGGAGAUAAGGAACAAGAUGAAGCCUAACACUACCACCAAUCAAGCAACUGAUCAUAAUGAUAUAGAAGUCAUUUUGAGUCUAGGUGGUCUAUUGAAAAUAGGAAAAAUAAUUAUUUGUAUGCUUUAGUAAUUCAAUGUAAUUAUCACUUAUGUUUAUGUUUGUUUAGUUGGAGAAUUCUACAGUAUUAUCA